GAAAGAUGGCUUUGGCUAUCACUCUGGGAUGGGCCUGCGGUGCAUUAGCUAGUUGGUAAGGUAACGGCUUACCAAGGCGAUGAUGCAUAGCCGAGUUGAGAGACUGAUCGGCCACAAUGGAACUGAGACACGGUCCAUACUCCUACGGGAGGCAGCAGUAGGGAAUCUUCCACAAUGGGCGCAAGCCUGAUGGAGCAACACCGCGUGAGUGAAGAAGGGUUUCGGCUCGUAAAGCUCUGUUGUUGGAGAAGAACGUGCGUGAGAGUAACUGUUCACGCAGUGACGGUAUCCAACCAGAAAGUCACGGCUAACUACGUGCCAGCAGCCGCGGUAAUACGUAGGUGGCAAGCGUUAUCCGGAUUUAUUGGGCGUAAAGCGAGCGCAGGCGGUUGCUUAGGUCUGAUGUGAAAGCCUUCGGCUUAACCGAAGAAGUGCAUCGGAAACCGGGCGACUUGAGUGCAGAAGAGGACAGUGGAACUCCAUGUGUAGCGGUGGAAUGCGUAGAUAUAUGGAAGAACACCAGUGGCGAAGGCGGCUGUCUGGUCUGCAACUGACGCUGAGGCUCGAAAGCAUGGGUAGCGAACAGGAUUAGAUACCCUGGUAGUCCAUGCCGUAAACGAUGAGUGCUAGGUGUUGGAGGGUUUCCGCCCUUCAGUGCCGG
rnacentral:rRNA from 1 species